GAUUAACGCUGGCGGCGUGCAUAACACAUGCCAGUCGAACGAUGAAACUCAUUAGAUUUCUUCGGAAUGAAAAUGAAUGGAUUAGUGGCGAACGGGUGAUUAACGCGUGAGUAACCUGCCUUACACAAGGGGAUAGCCUCUGGAAACGGAGAAUAAUACCCUAUGAAACCAGACAAUCGCAUGAUAAUCUGGUCAAAAUGUUUAGUGGUGUAAGAUGGACUUGCGUCUGAUUAGCUAGUUGGUGAGAUAAAAGCUCACCAAGGCAACGAUCAGUAGCCGGCUUGAGAGAGUGUACGGCCACAUUGGGACUGAGACACGGCCCAGACUCCUACGGGAGGCAGCAGUGGGGAAUUUUGCACAAUGGGGGAAACCCUGAUGCAGCGACGCCGCGUGAUUUAGAAGGCCUUCGGGUUGUAAAAAUCUUUUGUAUAGGAAGAAAAUGACAGUACUAUACGAAUAAGGUCCGGCUAAUUACGUG
rnacentral:rRNA from 1 species